rnacentral:rRNA from 1 species
UACGAAGGGGGCUAGCGUUGCUCGGAAUCACUGGGCGUAAAGCGCACGUAGGCGGCUUUUUAAGUCAGGGGUGAAAUCCUGGAGCUCAACUCCAGAACUGCCUUUGAUACUGGCAAGCUUGGAGUCCGGGAGAGGUGAGUGGAACUGCGAGUGUAGAGGUGAAAUUCGUAGAUAUUCGCAAGAACACCAGUGGCGAAGGCGGCUCACUGGCCCGGUACUGACGCUGAGGUGCGAAAGCGUGGGGAGCAAACAGG